GUCCCAGACUCCUACGGGAGGCAGCAGUGGGGAAUAUUGCACAAUGGGGGAAACCCUGAUGCAGCGACGCCGCGUGAGCGAUGAAGUAUUUCGGUAUGUAAAGCUCUAUCAGCAGGGAAGAAAAUGACGGUACCUGACUAAGAAGCCCCGGCUAAUUACGUGCCAGCAGCCGCGGUAAUACGUAGGGGGCAAGCGUUAUCCGGAUUUACUGGGUGUAAAGGGAGCGUAGACGGCGGCGCAAGUCCGGAGUGAAAGCCCACGGCCCAACCGUGGGACUGCUCUGGAAACUGUGCGGCUUGAGUGCGAGAGGGGCAGGCGGAAUUCCUAGUGUAGCGGUGAAAUGCGUAGAUAUCACGCAGAACUCCGAUUGCGAAGGCAGCAUACCGGCGCCCAACUGACGCUGAAGCACGAAAGCGUGGGUAUCGAACAGGAUUAGAUACCCUGGUAC
rnacentral:rRNA from 1 species